rnacentral:rRNA from 1 species
CAUAGGAGGUAAAUCCUGCCCGGUGAUUUAUUUAACGGCCGCGGUACCCUGACCGUGCAAAGGUAGCAUAAUCACUUGCCCUUUAAUUGUGGGCUUGCAUGAAUGGACUAACGAGAGUACAACUGUCUCUUCAAGACUAAAUGAAAUUAACCUACAGGUGCAGAGGCCUGUAUUUAAAUGAAAGACAAAAAGACCCUAUCGAGCUUAAGUUAACCUUUAAUUUAAUCUUCCAAUAUUGUAACAUUGACACAAACUUUUGUUGGGGCGACACGAGACCACAUAAAACCUCUCGAAUUAGAGAUGGCUCCUAGCCACCUGAUGACCCAUUUUAUUGAAUAAAAGAUAAAGCUACCGUAGGGAUAACAGGCUAAUCUUUUCUAAGAGCCCAUAUUGACGAAAAGGAUUGGCACCUCGAUGUUGGCUUAGAACUUCCCUAAAUCGCAGCAGAUUUAAUGGCAGGUUUGUUCAACCAUUAAAGUUC